AGUCAUGGCGAGUAAGUCCAAGAUUUACUUUGCCAUGGAACUUGUUCGAGGCGGUGAACUCUUCUCGAAAAUCGCCAAGGGUCGGCUCAAGGAAGACUUGGCAAGAGUCUAUUUCCAACAGUUGGUUUCCGUUAUCGAUUUCUGUCAUAGCCGUGGGGUUUACCACCGUGAUUUGAAGCCGGAGAAUUUGCUCUUGGAUGAAGAUGGCUGCUUGAAGGUUACAGAUUUUGGUCUCAGCGCUUUCUCUGAGCACUUGAAACAAGACGGGUUAUUGCACACAACAUGUGGAACACCGGCUUAUGUGGCUCCUGAAGUUAUUGGUAAAAAAGGAUACGACGGAGCUAAAGCAGAUCUUUGGUCUUGUGGGGUAAUCCUUUACGUGCUUCUCGCUGGGUUCUUACCAUUUCAAGAUGAUAAUAUGGUAGCCAUGUACAGGAAGAUUUACAGAGGAGAUUUCAAGUGCCCACCUUGGUUUUCCCUGAAGCUCGUAGAUUAAUUACUAAGCUUUUAGAUCCCAACCCAAAUACCCGAAUCACCACUUCAAAGGUGAUGGACUCGUCUUGGUUCAGGAAAUCAAUACCCAAGACUAUUAGAACCAAGGGGGAGCUAGAAUUUGAAGCCUUCAAUGGCGAGAAAUCAUCCAAGCCUGAGACUCUGAACGCUUUCCAUAUCAUUUCCUUAUCCGAGGGCUUCGAUUUGUCACCGUUGUUUGAAGAGAAGAAGAGAGAAGAGAAAGAGGAGCUAAGAUUCGCUACAACAAGGCCAGCGAGCAGUGUAAUAUCGAGACUGGAAGAGGUGGCCAAGUCGAUGAAGUUCAGCGUCAAGAAGAGCGAGUCAAGUGUAAGACUGCAGGGUCAAGAAUGUGGAAGGAAAGGGAAAUUAGCCAUUGCUGCUGACAUUUUCGCAUUAACACCGUCGUUUCUGGUGGUGGAAGUUAAAAAAGACCAUGGUGAUACCCUUGAAUACAACCAGUUUUGCAGUAAAGAGCUCCGACCGGCGCUUAAGGACAUCGUCUGGACGUCGCCCUCCGAUAACUCGACUGUCGCUUGACUUCUAUUAUGUUCUAGACCAUUGUUUCAUAAUGUUGUUAUUAUUGUUUAGAAAGAAAACCAGAAACAGAGGAUGUUCUGGGUUUGGUCGUUUGUGAUUAUGUUAAAGAUGGAAUCAUAUGCGCAUCAUUCGAUUAAAUUUAUUGAUGAUGUUCCAUUUUUACGCCAAUAUUUUCAUGUUUGUAUUGUUUUUCUGCAAGUGGACGGCUUCAGUUUAUGAUUUAA